UCCUCCAAAUCCAAGCCAUUAAUAAUUCUGUAGUACUCAGCACCACCAACAAGAACAACCUCUGCGACGACAGCAAGAAUAAGGUUGAUGGGAAUGUUCUUUCCGAAGUAAUUCAAUGUGUUUCCGUCUAGAAGUAAAGCUCCAGUCUUGAACCAAACAGCUUCAGGACCACAGUUGGCACCAAAUUUGUUGAAGGCUUCUGGGAUAAUAAACCCAGCAGCACCGAGCAUAGCCCAUCUGGCGUGGAUCAGCUCAUAUGCCUGAUAUUUGGCGAAGUCUUCUGGCUUCUUGCUCAAACCAAAAGGAUCGUAACCGUAGUCUCCGGGAACUUCUCCGUUCAAGUACUCGGGGAUUUCUGAUCUGUCCAAUAGACCCUCGGGCAGGAAAAUUCUUCUGUCAGGUCCGUACCACUUGGCGAGCUCAUCGUCAGCAGGGGAGACAGCGGCAGCCUUAGCUUUGGCAGGAGCUGCAGCCGCCUUCUUUUUGAAAAGGGCAACAGUUUUGAAGGUAGCAGAGGAGGAUGGAGAUGGAGCAGCAGGCCUUGCAACACCGCUAAACUUGACCGGACUUCCGAGCAUCUCGGAGACGUAUAGAGAGGUAGCUGCAGCCAUUUGUAGCUAAACGGUGUCGCUGGCAAGAGGUAAAAAAAAUUGAGGUCGAGU
rnacentral:misc_RNA from 1 species